rnacentral:lncRNA from 13 species
UAAUUUUUGUAUUCGAAAAUCAUUUUGAUGCACUGAGAGAGAAAGAGGUGACGAUUCUCAGAACAUAUGUGCUCUACAAAUGUUUUAUUUCCUUUUGGAUGCAGAUGCAGGAUGCAGAGAGUCAGUUCUGCUUGAUUAAAACUACCUGAUCUCCAAAGUCCACGUUCAUAGUCUCUAUCAACCACACACAACGCAGAGUUACAGCGGUGCAGAAUAGCACCGGCUACAAUAACAUAUAAUAGUUAUUAAAAUACACAUAUAAUAGUUAUGUCUGUAAAGGUCUAACAAGUUCACUUUGAAUUGUUCAACUAGCAGGUAGACUGACAUAAAUCAUGACGUAAUAUACAGUAAGUGACGUUGAAGAUACUGAUUUCCCUUUUGUCUGUGGUGACUAUUGACCAUAGACAAAAAGUAAAUAGAAUGUGCAUGCAUUUUCCAAUAAGAUCUCAGACUUUAAGGAUAAAAAAAAUAAGGAAACUUAAAAUAAGUCAACUUAUUUUUUAAAUCCAUAAAGUUUGAGAUCGUAUAUUAAAAUUGGGCACGUGCGUUAUAGUUAUGUCUGUAAAGCUCCAAAAAGUUCACUUUGAAUCAUUCAUCUCUGAUCUAGCAUUGAUUUUCUAUGUCUAUUCUUUGUGUGAGUCGUCGCCAUUUUGUUCCAGGCUCCAGUGCUGCGCAGCAAGGAACCCGGCGGACGUGUUGUUCUCUUGUAGUGGGACAAACAUUUUAACCUUUUUUGUAAUACUGUAACUACCACGUAUGAAGAUGAAACUCGCAUUCGCCCAGUAAUUCUGUUCUCCAGGGGAGUGUU